rnacentral:tRNA from 3 species
GCCGAGGUGGUGGAAUUGGCAGACACGCAGUCUUGAGGAGGCUGUACCGAAAGGUGUGGAGGUUCAAGUCCUCUCCUCGGCACUA